rnacentral:rRNA from 1 species
UACGUAGGGAGCAAGCGUUGUCCGGAUUCACUGGGCGUAAAGAGCACGUAGGCGGUUAAUUAAGUCAGGUGUGAAAGUUUUCGGCUCAACCGGAAAAGUGCACUUGAAACUGGAUAACUUGAGUAUCGGAGAGGUAAGCGGAAUUCCUAGUGUAGCGGUGAAAUGCGUAGAGAUUAGGAAGAACACCGGUGGCGAAGGCGGCUUACUGGACGAUAACUGACGCUGAGGUGCGAAAGCGUGGGGAGCGAACAGG